UGCAUAUCAAUAAGCGGAGGAAAAGAAACCAACCGGGAUUGCCUUAGUAACGGCGAGUGAAGCGGCAAAAGCUCAAAUUUGAAAUCUGGUACCUUCGGUGCCCGAGUUGUAAUUUGGAGAGGGCAACUUUGGGGCCGUUCCUUGUCUAUGUUCCUUGGAACAGGACGUCAUAGAGGGUGAGAAUCCCGUGUGGCGAGGAGUGCGGUUCUUUGUAAAGUGCCUUGGAAGAGUCGAGUUGUUUGGGAAUGCAGCUCUAAGUGGGUGGUAAAUUCCAUCUAAAGCUAAAUAUUGGCGAGAGACCGAUAGCGAACAAGUACAGUGAUGGAAAGAUGAAAAGAACUUUGAAAAGAGAGUGAAAAAGUACGUGAAAUUGUUGAAAGGGAAGGGCAUUUGAUCAGACAUGGUGUUUUGUGCCCUCUGCUCCUUGUGGGUAGGGGAAUCUCGCAUUUCACUGGGCCAGCAUCAGUUUUGGUGGCAGGAUAAAUCCAUAGGAAUGUAGCUUGCCUCGGUAAGUAUUAUAGCCUGUGGGAAUACUGCCAGCUGGGACUGAGGACUGCGACGUAAGUCA
rnacentral:rRNA from 1 species